rnacentral:rRNA from 1 species
CCUACGGGAGGCAGCAGUAGGGAAUUGUUCGCAAUGGGCGCAAGCCUGACGACGCAACGCCGCGUGGAGGAUGAAGACCUUCGGGUCGUAAACUCCUUUCGACCGAGAUGAACACCCCGCCGCCGAACACGUGGCGGGGCUGACAGUAUCGGGAGAAGAAGCCCCGGCUAACUCCGUGCCAGCAGCCGCGGUAAUACGGGGGGGGCAAGCGUUGUUCGGAAUUACUGGGCGUAAAGGGUUCGUAGGUGGCCGUCUAAGUCAGACGUGAAAUCCCUCAGCUCAACUGGGGAACUGCGUCUGAGACUGGAUGGCUCGAGUGCAGGAGAGGAACGCGGAAUUCCAGGUGUAGCGGUGAAAUGCGUAGAUAUCUGGAGGAACACCGGUGGCGAAGGCGGCGUUCUGGACUGCUACUGACACUGAGGAACGAAAGCCAGGGGAGC